rnacentral:rRNA from 1 species
UACAGAGGUCUCAAGCGUUGUUCGGAUUCAUUGGGCGUAAAGGGUGCGUAGGUGGCGCCGUAAGUCAGGUGUGAAAUUUCGGAGCUUAACUCCGAAACUGCAUUUGAUACUGCGGUGCUUUGAGGACUGGAGAGGAGACUGGAAUUUACGGUGUAGCAGUGAAAUGCGUAGAGAUCGUAAGGAAGACCAGUGGCGAAGGCGGGUCUCUGGACGAGUU